rnacentral:sRNA from 4 species
CGACUAAGGUUCGAUUCGAGCGAAAGCGAGAAAGCGUUGCCGCAGGCAACGACCCGAAGGGCGAAGCGCGCAGCGCUGAGUCAUCCUUCCCCCACCACCA